AAUUCGCCCUUAGAGUUUGAUCAUGGCUCAGAUUGAACGCUGGCGGCAUGCCUUACACAUGCAAGUCGAACGGCAGCAUGAUCUAGCUUGCUAGAUUGAUGGCGAGUGGCGAACGGGUGAGUAAUACAUCGGAACGUGCCCUGUAGUGGGGGAUAACUAGUCGAAAGAUUAGCUAAUACCGCAUACGACCUGAGGGUGAAAGUGGGGGACCGCAAGGCCUCAUGCUAUAGGAGCGGCCGAUGUCUGAUUAGCUAGUUGGUGAGGUAAAGGCUCACCAAGGCGACGAUCAGUAGCUGGUCUGAGAGGACGAUCAGCCACACUGGGACUGAGACACGGCCCAGACUCCUACGGGAGGCAGCAGUGGGGAAUUUUGGACAAUGGGCGAAAGCCUGAUCCAGCAAUGCCGCGUGUGUGAAGAAGGCCUUCGGGUUGUAAAGCACUUUUGUCCGGAAAGAAAUGGCUCUGGUUAAUACCUGGGGUCGAUGACGGU
rnacentral:rRNA from 1 species